rnacentral:rRNA from 1 species
CACGUAGGCGGAUAUUUAAGUCAGGGGUGAAAUCCCAGAGCUCAACUCUGGAACUGCCUUUGAUACUGGGUAUCUUGAGUAUGGAAGAGGUAAGUGGAAUUCCGAGUGUAGAGGUGGAAUUCGUAGAUAUUCGGAGGAACACCAGUGGCGAAGGCGGCUUACUGGUCCAUUACUGACGCUGAGGUGCGAAAGCGUGGGGAGCAAACA